rnacentral:rRNA from 1 species
CCUACGGGAGGCAGCAGUGGGGAAUCUUGCACAAUGGAGGAAACUCUGAUGCAGCGAUGCCGCGUGAGUGAAGAAGGCCUUUGGGUUGUAAAGCUCUUUUGUAGGGGAAGAUAAUGACUGUACCCUAAGAAUAAGGUCCGGCUAACUUCGUGCCAGCAGCCGCGGUAAUACGAAGGGACCUAGCGUAGUUCGGAAUUACUGGGCGUAAAGCGCGCGUAGGCCGUUGAGUUAGUUAAUUGUGAAAUCCCAAAGCUUAACUUUGGAACUGCAAUUAAAACUGCUCGACUAGAGUUUGAUAGAGGAAAGCGGAAUACAUAGUGUAGAGGUGAAAUUCGUAGAUAUUAUGUAGAACACCAGUUGCGAAGGCGGCUUUCUGGAUCAACACUGACGCUGAGGCGCGAAAGUAUGGGUAGCAAAGAGGAUUAGAUACCCUCGUAGUCCAUACCAUAAACGAUGAUUGCUAGAUGUUGGAAAUUUAUUUUCAGUAUCGCAGCUAACGCAUUAAGCAAUCCGCCUGGGGAGUACGACCGCAAGGUUAAAACUCAAAGGAAAUUGAACGG